CAGCAGCCGCGGUAAAACGUAGGGUGCAGGCGUUAAUCGGAAUUACUGGGCGUAAAGCGUGCGCAGGCGGUUAUAUAAGUCAGAUGUGAAAUCCCCGGGCUCAACCUGGGAACUGCAUUUGAGACUGUAUGGCUAGAGUGUGUCAGAGGGGGGUAGAAUUCCACGUGUAGCAGUGAAAUGCGUAGAUAUGUGGAGGAAUACCGAUGGCGAAGGCAGCCCCCUGGGAUAACACUGACGCUCAUGCACGAAAGCGUGGGGAGCAAACAGGAUUAGAGACCCGCGUAGUCCCUGUCUCUUAUAC
rnacentral:rRNA from 1 species